ACUCUCUCGCUCUCUCUCCUCUCGAACUCUCUGCCUGUCUUUUCUCUCUUCUCGCUGUCUCUCCCACCACCAACCACCACCACCGCAGUCACUAAUGGAGAUGUUAAAGCAAGCCCUUAAAAAACUAGGAGAACGAUGCCAAGAUCUCUAAUGGCGACGUUGCUCCUCACAAGGAGCUGAUUUCUGCAAUCUGGUUGGGCUUGUUGCUUUACAGAGGAUAGAAUUUUGACACAACAAUUUGCAAUUCCUUUGGUAUACGAGGUUAGGGUACAUCAGGGACAAGAGCCAAUUGAUGGGGUAGGCGUUUGCUUGAUACAAAUAGGCAGGAUUAUGGAUAUGGAAGAUGGGAUUUUGAAGCAAAGAAUUCAUAGUUUGGCUAGACAGAGAGAAGAGAUGCAGCAAAUCUCCUUGUUAUUGUCGUCAUAAAUUCAAGCUCUCCACGCUGUUGACUUUUCACAAGAGAGUGGAUCAACUCUCCACGUUGCUGCCUCUACUGCUCCCUGUACUGUUACUCCCUCUACUGUUGUUGCCUUAUCUUUGAUGCUACUGCCUCCUACAUUUGAUGUUGUUGCUGCUACUGCCUCCUUCUAUUAUGAUAAUAGAGAAUAUAUUGAUUCUGUAGUUUUUUUUUUCAGUUUUUUAAAGUGUAAUAUUACAAGUUAUUGAAGAAAAUAUAUGUGUUUUAUGUAU